UACGGGGGGGGGCAAGCGUUGUUCGGAAUUACUGGGCGUAAAGGGCUCGUAGGCGGCCAACUAAGUCAGACGUGAAAUCCCUCGGCUUAACCGGGGAACUGCGUCUGAUACUGGAUGGCUAGAGGUUGGGAGAGGGAUGCGGAAUUCCAGGUGUAGCGGUGAAAUGCGUAGAUAGUCUGGAGGAACACCGGUGGCGAAGGCGGCAUCCUGGACCAAUUCGUGACGCUGAGGAGCGAAAGCCAGGGGAGCAAACGGG
rnacentral:rRNA from 1 species